rnacentral:tRNA from 1 species
GCAUUCUUAGCUCAGUUGGAUAGAGCAGUAGCCUUCUAAGCUGAUGGUCAUGGGUUCGACCCCCGUAGAGUGUA